rnacentral:misc_RNA from 1 species
AAGUCGUAACAAGGUUUCCGUAGGUGAACCUGCGGAAGGAUCAUUAACACGUUUCUAUCAUAAAACGUAACACAAACCGUGAACUAAGUUUUUCGACCCUGACUUUGCAAGUGAACUGACAUCUUCGUGAGAUAAUGAUGUGGACGAUCGUAAGAUUGUCAUCUCACCUAGUUAAAAGUUGUGUGGACGCAUUCGUGUGUCUGCACAGACAGUUGUGGUGCACUGACAGGACAACCCUCUUGCUUGUAACCUACCUCACAUUGUGUGGGUUCAAGUGAGAACAUUAUACACACAUUUCACCCUACUUUUUGCUAGUUGACUUUAUCUGUUACUAUUCUUUAUGGAUCGUAGCACGUUUAUUAAUUGAACGUUAAAAUGUACAACUCUUAGCAAUGGAUAUCUUGGUUCUC